rnacentral:rRNA from 1 species
GACGAACGCUGGCGGCGUGCUUAACACAUGCAAGUCGAACGGAAAGGCCCUGCUUUUGUGGGGUGCUCGAGUGGCGAACGGGUGAGUAACACGUGAGUAACCUGCCCUUGACUUUGGGAUAACUUCAGGAAACUGGGGCUAAUACCGGAUAGGAGCUCCUGCUGCAUGGUGGGGGUUGGAAAGUUUCGGCGGUUGGGGAUGGACUCGCGGCUUAUCAGCUUGUUGGUGGGGUAGUGGCUUACCAAGGCUUUGACGGGUAGCCGGCCUGAGAGGGUGACCGGCCACAUUGGGACUGAGAUACGGCCCAGACUCCUACGGGAGGCAGCAGUGGGGAAUAUUGCGCAAUGGGCGGAAGCCUGACGCAGCAACGCCGCGUGCGGGAUGACGGCCUUCGGGUUGUAAACCGCUUUCGCCUGUGACGAAGCGUGAGUGACGGUAAUGGGUAAAGAAGCACCGGCUAACUACGUG